AAAUUAUACAGAAAAGGUUAUUAACAGGAACAUUUUGCCAGUCUUAAAUUGAUGACAAGCUCAGCAUAUCAAAAUUUCAAAUCGUCACUUUAUAUGAAUAGGUUAGAGGUGUACAUCAAACGCCAUUCUUCCUCUGCUACUCUCCCCAAAGAAAAAGAAUAAUGAUAAUUAAAAAAAAUAAAAAUAAAAAUUAGACAUCAAGUGCCAAAACUACGAUCUCCAGCAUCUCCAAGUCCAGGAACUAUAAAUCCUUUGUCAUUGACUGUGGGAUCAAUAAUUCCAGUGUAAACGUGAAGCCCAGGGAACUUCUCACUAAGCUUUUGAAGGGCUGGAGGAGCAGCAACUGCAGAUAUCACUUUUAUUUGUUUGUUCUCAACCCCAUGUUCCUUAAUGUGGUCAAGAGCAGCCACUAUUGUGCCACCUGUAAUCAAACAAAAAUGCCUCAAAUCAAAAGAUACAGGAAAGUGCUGGGGAAAAAAAAGGUGCUUGAAAGAUGCAACAAAAUUGUGCUAUUGAAGCAUGAAAAUUUAAGCACAAGUAAUUACAUAUUGGAUGAAUUGAGAUGAAUUUAUGAGAAAAGAAAGGCUUGAAAAUUAUUUUUUAGAAGAAAACUGAGAUUUCAUGCUGCCAUCACUCUUCUUCCUACUGGUUAUGCUGAAUUAAGUAUGAGAAGUAGUGAAUCACUGUGCAUAUAAUCUAAACUUCCCUGUCUAAUUAUCGUGUUGUACUAUAGAAUUCUUUUUCUGCUCAUUGUUCCUUUAAAUGGGGCAUAACAUAUAACAUUGUUCAAAUGAUCAAUUUGAAUGCUAAGUGAUAAGUAUAAUUUUCCAAAUUGAAGACACAGCGAGACAUUAAUAUUUGUUUUUCCCAUAUAAGUUAGCAAGGUAAUAGGUACUAGGUUCCAUUUCUUUCACAAAAUAUGUUUUCUUGGGUCAAAGGGAAAGUACAUCAAUUCUAAAGAAAUUGACUUUCAUGUUUUCAAAAUAAAAAACAAAGGCAUUUUCUAGACUUUGACAAACUCAUAAAAAGGAAAGAUAUCCAUAAAAGAACUACAAGUCAUUAGAACCACAAUUAGACUACCAACCUUUGCUGAUCAUCUCUGCCUAUCACCACCACCAGUGGUUGGCAACAGUCACUGGUGACAACCACAAUUUACUCUAUCAUUGUAUGAUUUUCUCACAUAUUCAGCAAUAAAUAGAAAAAUGAGAAAUUCUUAUAUGUUUAACAUUUUAAUUGUUUUAUUUUUUGAAAAUAAAUAUCUUCCCAUGUGAAAUACUUCCCAAUUGAUUUUCAAUAUUAUCACCAAAUAACAAAAGAUAAGUUUUUUCUUAGAAAAUAUUUUCCAUAGACAAACCACUUUUCGUGAAACAGUAUCAAUGAUGUUUUACAUCAACUUUUAGUAAAUGACCAAUGAAACUCAACCAAGCAUUAGUCCGAAUUAAUUUCAGGUUGUAGAGUCUCAAAGCUGAAUGCCCAUGUAAUGCAAGAAUGAAUAGGAUAACUAGAACAUAAUGACAUCAUAGAUUUUCUUUAUUUUGUGAAGGACCGACGUUUUUUGAGGCAGGCAACAUGAUAAGCUCCAUGAUAUUGUGAAAUGAAGAACACUAAUAAAACAAAGAUUAUCAUCAGACGAUAAAAAUAGAUAGAUGUGGAUAGGAUUUCACCCAAUAAGAAUGCAAUAUUACCCGUUGCCAGCAUGGGAUCUACCACAAAUACUCGUGACUCUUUGGGGAAUUUUUCAGGUAACUUGUUCAGAUAUAUUGUUGGUUGAAGUGUAUCCUCAUCUCCGCCUAUCCCUUAAUUUCUAUAUGGUAGGUUUUUGUUGCAGGCAAUAUUGAUGAUGCAUGUUCUGCAAGAGCAAGACCAGCUCUCAAGAUUGGAACAACCUAGAAAAUUAAUAGAAAAAAAAAAUUCAGUUAAUGACCUCAAAAGCAGCACCAAGGCUCCACUAGAUUAUACUAAUAAUAAAUAAACACACACAAAGUUACCUUGUAAGGGGGUUUUGGUUGGUGGGGGGUUGAUCAACAGUAAAGUAAAAGUAGAUAUGCACAUAAAUCAGGGGAGCAAAAAUAAUACAGUAUUAAAAAAAUUUUAAGUUUUGUAACUGGUAACCAACCGCCACAGGCUCCCUUGGAUCAAUAAAUUCAACUGAGGCAACACCCAUUGGUGACUGAAUCUGCCCGGUGAUGGUAGGCAACCAAUCCCUUGAAGCUUCAUAAAUUAAAAGCCUCCCUAACUCAGCCAAGGCAUUUCCUGCCAAAAUAGGAAAGAGAAAAAAGAUCCCAAAACAAUACUAUAAGACAUGGGAAGCAUACAGAAGGAAGAACCAUGAAUAAAAGGAUAAAAAAAUAUAAAUAAAAAUAAAAAAAGCUAGAGAAGCCAGCGAUUUUAAAAGACCAAUUUUUUGACACAAAUUGAUCCAACGGGCUAAAGCUUCCAACAGUUACUGAUCAAAGCUUAAAAGCAUAUUAUAGAAGCCAGAAAAUUUUAAUGCAGACACCCACAUCAAAAUUAUUCUUUCGAUGCAGAAGGGAAGCUACAUAGAUAUCACAUCCAUUAAAUAAUAAAAGAGUUACUCCAAAAUGGCAGGGUAACUGUUUCUUUCCCACAUAAAUAAAAAAUAGUUAAAAGAGUUAAAAAUGGCAUACAUACAAAUUUUAUGUACUUGCUGCCAAGUUAUAAACUUACAAAUAGAGCAUUCUUGGUCCGCCCAAACACAUAUAAAGACAAACAUAUAGAAAUACACUUAACUGAAAAUUGGGCAAGGAGUUUGCUCAUUCCUCAGGACUGAAACCCAGUGCUUGAUCAAGGGAUGUGGAGGCACAAACACAAGCAUUCUAUCCUCUGAAAUCGGCUUUUCCUCUGUAGCCAUGUGAGACUUCACAGUUAGAAAGCUGCACCGUGAAGGAUUAGAACACGACAUCUUUUGGGGAUUGAGAGAAAAAUAAGAAGAUGGAAGGAAAUUAAGCAUGAGAGGAGAGUUAGGGUUUCGCAGGUGACAUUUAUACGCUAAACGUGGCGUAGAAGGCGGGCACCGGAGAGAGAAAUUAAUGUGAGACGCCAUUCAUCCGGGAACUUCGAUCUGAGAGUGUAGUAGCUUAGCUAGAUUCAAGUUGUUGAGAGGUUUUAGACUACUGGGUUUGGUUUGGUCGAAGAGGGGAUGCGGAUUGUGGAUGUGACCGCCUUUUGAUCAGGACUGAACUCUGUUGGGUUUGAGUCCACGGGCUUUAACUCAAAAGUCCAAACAAUGAAAUCCAUUGGGCAAAUGAAUUGUCUGCACAGAGACAUUAGCCCAUUCCCAUGUUACAAUGGAGUUUGGAGAAGGAAGAGAGAAGGGGUUACCUCGCCGUCGCCGGAUUGUUGCUGACCUCAGAAAUCAAGUAAUGGUUUAAGGGAGCUAGGUAGGGGAAGUCACUAUAUAGUAAUGAUUUCAGAAAUCGCGGUAGUGCUAAGCAAACAACUAGCCAAUUAGGUGUACCUGAUGGGAUUGGAUUGUCAAAGUUCAUUAACUUUGCGGGUGACAAAGAACAGGAUCCAGCUAACACUUGACCCACCACCAUUCUUUAGUUUUGAUGGCCGUCAGAUUCUUGGAAUUGGCACCAGAUAACGAUGCCCUUUUGAUUUCUACGAAUAAUGUGUCGAGUGCGCCAUUCAUUCUUCAUGCAAGACACAACUUCCAAGCGCCAAGCUGCUUGCCAGAAUGAGUGCCUGUGACGUGUGCAGGCGACCAUGCUGAUGGGCUCG
rnacentral:misc_RNA from 1 species